UGGGUCUAAUACCGGAUAUGACUCCUCAUCGCAUGGUGGGGGGUGGAAAGCUUUUGUGGUUUUGGAUGGACUCGCGGCCUAUCAGCUUGUUGGUGAGGUAAUGGCUCACCAAGGCGACGACGGGUAGCCGGCCUGAGAGGGUGACCGGCCACACUGGGACUGAGACACGGCCCAGACUCCUACGGGAGGCAGCAGUGGGGAAUAUUGCACAAUGGGCGCAAGCCUGAUGCAGCGACGCCGCGUGAGGGAUGACGGCCUUCGGGUUGUAAACCUCUUUCAGUAGGGAAGAAGCGAAAGUGACGGUACCUGCAGAAGAAGCGCCGGCUAACUACGUGCCAGCAGCCGCGGUAAUACGUAGGGCGCAAGCGUUAUCCGGAAUUAUUGGGCGUAAAGAGCUCGUAGGCGGUUUGUCGCGUCUGCCGUGAAAGUCCGGGGCUCAACUCCGGAUCUGCGGUGGGUACGGGCAGGCUAGAGUGAUGUAGGGGAGACUGGAAUUCCUGGUGUAGCGGUGAAAUGCGCAGAUAUCAGGAGGAACACCGAUGGCGAAGGCAGGUCUCUGGGCAUUAACUGACGCUGAGGAGCGAAAGCAUGGGGAGCGAACAGGAUUAGAUACCCUGGUAGUCCAUGCCGUAAACGUUGGGCACUAGGUGUGGGGGACAUUCCACGUUUUCCGCGCCGUAGCUAACGCAUUAAGUGCCCCGCCUGGGGAGUACGGCCGCAAGGCUAAAACUCAAAGGAAUUGACGGGGGCCCGCACAAGCGGCGGAGCAUGCGGAUUAAUUCGAUGCAACGCGAAGAACCUUACCAAGGCUUGACAUGGACCGGACCGCCGCAGAGAUGUGGUUUCUCCUUUUGGGGCCGGUUCACAGGUGGUGCAUGGUUGUCGUCAGCUCGUGUCGUGAGAUGUUGGGUUAAGUCCCGCAACGAGCGCAACCCUCGUUCCAUGUUGCCAGCGCGUAAUGGCGGGGACUCAUGGGAGACUGCCGGGGUCAACUCGGAGGAAGGUGGGGACGACGUCAAAUCAUCAUGCCCCUUAUGUCUUGGGCUUCACGCAUGCUACAAUGGCCGGUACAAAGGGUUGCGAUACUGUGAGGUGGAGCUAAUCCCAAAAAGCCGGUCUCAGUUCGGAUUGGGGUCUGCAACUCGACCCCAUGAAGUCGGAGUCGCUAGUAAUCGCAGAUCAGCAACGCUGC
rnacentral:rRNA from 1 species